rnacentral:ncRNA from 2 species
CGGCCCGAGGGGCGCUGCGAGGAUGAUCCAUCCCCAGGCUCGGGCCGCUCCCGCUUCAACGGCGCUCACCUGAU